GGAUGAGAAACUAUUGUACAGUAUAGUUGCUGGAGUCAAGAAGAGUUUGUUUUCUCUGAGAAGAAACAAAAUAUCUUCCUCAUACCACGUGGAGGAGGGAGUGAACGUAAGCAAAAUGUGUAUUUGCUCUCUCAAACACUGAGAGUGCUUGGAACACAGCUAUUAUUUUAAAUCACCUACUAUUGCCCACAGUGAACGAACAGCCUGUAAAAGCAAGGAAAACUUUUUUGUUCAUAUAUGCAAUGAGGUCUCUUGCCUGGAAACUGACAUUAUCACCCACUGUUCUCAGCAUUCAGGUACUAGUGACUCAGAGUGGCUUAUAAAAUAUGAAGA
rnacentral:lncRNA from 1 species